UACAGGGGGGGCAAGCGUUGUUCGGAAUUACUGGGCGUAAAGGGCUCGUAGGCGGCCAACUAAGUCACACGUGAAAUCCCCAGGCUUAACCUGGGAACUGCGUGUGAUACUGGAUGGCUUGAAUUCGGGAGAGGGAUGCAGAAUUCCAGAUGUAGCGGUGAAAUGCGUAGAUAUCUGGAGGAAUACCGGUGGCGAAGGCGGCAUCCUGGACCGACAUUGACGCUGAGGAGCGAAAGCUAGGGGAGCAAACGGG
rnacentral:rRNA from 1 species